CAGUGUAUAGUUUAUUUAAAAUAUAAUAUUUGGGUUAUUAAGAUUUUGUCACUGA
rnacentral:tRNA from 1 species